ACUUUUCAGAUUUUUUCCAAGGCCUGUCUCAAGGAACAUGGGAUAUAUUCACCCAGGAAUAGGUCGGCAGAUAUUAACGAGGCACCUUAUAACAUCUAAUUUAAAGCACACUUCCCUUGCAUGACUCCUACCUACAGGGCAUGUGACCACCCGUGAACCCAUGCUAGAGUUUUCCAGGUAUGUUCCUGUGAGGUCUUCAGUGAUUCACUGGAAGUACUCACAGAUCUCAGAAAACCUGUCAUGUUACAAUUAUAGUUUAUUAUAUAGCAAGAGGAUUCGUAUUGAAGUCAGCAAUGGAAAAAGGUACAUAGAGCAAACUCCAGCAGAAACCAAGCACAUGCUUCUAGUUCUCUUGCAGUUCAUGCAUGUGACCAGCCGAAUUCUCCCUGUUACAAGGUGAGACGACACGCAGACAGUGUUGCCAACCAGGAAGGCUCACCUGAGCUUUGGUGUCCAGGCGAACUGCCCAUGGGACUGACCUUCGGUCUCCAGUUCCUCCAGAGGUCAAGCUGAUACCACCACCAGGAGAGAGAAUCGGCUUGACUUGAGGAUGCCUCUCAAGGUAAAGUACUUCAUUUUUGGCCAAUACCAAAUAAAAUUAGGAGGUGCUUAAUGAUUUGGUCCAACAGAAAUCAAGAGGAAAAAAGUAAAGCAGCCAGUAAACCUUUCCGGAACAUUUGCUCAAUUGGCGUGAAGAGCUUAUACCCAAGCCUGAGACUGCUAGAAAUAGAUGCCUAAAGGUUUUUUUUAAUAGGAUACAUGUAAAUUCAUUAGCCUACAAUACUACAGAAUGCUACUCAAUAAAUAUUUCACUGCCUAACCAUUAUUUCCAAAAGUAUUUUGGUUAUCAAAAUGUUUGUUUCAGAAGGUUCUCACUAAAAAUGCUAAAGCUCAAAGACCAGUCAACUAAAAAUCUCCUAAGAAAGUGAAGCAACAAGAAUUUUGCCUAAAUAUGCAUACAUGAAACCAGAAUGACUCAAGUGUCAGGUCCAGUUGGGACCAUGUUGUAAAUUCAACAGGAAUUCAAUUCAUGAAUUUCCCAUCAUGUGAGGUAUCUGGAAGAUAUGUGAACACUGAAAACAACAAUGUCAAUACAAUUGAAUGCAGACAUUAAUAAACCUGUCAUUUGGAUCAGCAGAUAAUCUUGUAACUGAAUAUUUGGAUAUUUGGGGGAAGGAAAUGUACAAAUCAUCAAAGGCGGCAAAUUCCCUUCAGGAAUUGUGGUAUCCACACAUUGUAUCACAGGUUUGGUUUGACUGAAUAAUGCAUGAAGAUGUCUGUUUUAAAUUAUUCACUGACUACAGAGUUGACAAGUAACCACUGAAGAACCAGGAGAUUAGCCACCAGGAGCCUCCAUUUGAUGUCUGACUCAGUGAAGGCUGUUUUUUCUCUAGAGAAUGAGAGGUUCUAUGUAAUAUGAGACUAAGGAAGUAAGGUAGAGUCUGUGGUAUGCUCACAAGAUGUUGCUUUAAAUGUGCUGAUAGAAUUCUGGAGCCCACGAGUCUACAAAUGAGUGCCAUUGAAAUCCACACCUGGGUCUAUAGCACUUUGAUAUGUCAAAGGGGUAGGUUCUGCCAUUUUUCUCACUAAGUAUAUUGAAACAUAACACUACGUAAAAUUUAAAAUUACUCUGUAGGGUCAAAUGAGCAUUUUUUUAGAGAAUGAACAAUGUCCCUAGGAGAAGAGGGUGCUGUCUUUGUUGAAUUGACUCCAUUAUUUUUCAUGCAUGUUGUUUUCAAAAAUUUUUAGAGACGCUUUAAAAGAAGGGAGCUUCUCAAAUAAUGAUGGCUGUCAUUUAAUUAAUCCAUGAUAAAUAACACUGAUAAAAUAGAUAAAAAAUCGAAAGCUCAGAAUGGUUGAAGAACUUUCUCCAACAUCACAGAAGUAAGGUUCUUCUCUCCCAAAGCCUGCGCUACUUCCUGGUUGAUGGCAAUAUGCUGCCUAAUAGGACCUUAACAAGUCUUUCUCAUCAGCUGACCACGGGCCAAGAGCCUCUCUUCCCUAGUUCAAAUGGACUCUGCUGGAACUCUGUAAAGGACCGUGUCUCUGCAUCUUUACAUAUGCAACAUCUAUCACGGUGAUCAUUUAUCUUAAUAAAUUUGGUUUUCCUUUU